GGGAUAACUUCGGGAAACCGGAGCUCAUACCGGAUAAUCCUUUUCCUCUCGCGAGGAAAAGCUGAAAGACAGGUUACGCUGUCACUUACAGAUAGGCCCGCGGCGCACUAGCUAGUUGGUGAGGUAACGGCUCACCAAGGCGACAAUACGUAGCCCACCUGAGAGGGGGAUCGGCCACACUGGGACUGAGACACGGCCCACACACCUACAGGAGGCGGCAGUAUGGAAUCUUCCGCAAUGGACGAAAGUCUGACAGAGCAACGCCCCGCGAGCGAUGAAAGCGUUCGGGUCGUAAAGCUCUGUUGUUAGGGAAGAACACGUAUCGGAGUAACUGCGGGUGCCUUGACGGUACCUAACCAGAAAGCCACGGCUAACUACAUGCCAGCAGCCGCGGUAAUACGUAUGUGGCAAGCGUUGUCCGGAAUUAUUGGGCGUAUAGCGCGCGCACGCGGUCCUUUAAGUCUGAUGUGAAAGCCCACGGCUCACCCGUGGAGGGCAUUGUAAACUGGGGGACUUGAGUACACAAAAGAAAAGUGGAAUUCCCGUGUAUCGGUGAAAUGCGUAUAGAUGUGGAGGAGCACCACUGGCGAAAGCGACUUUCUGGGCUGUGACUGACACUCAGGCGCGAAAGCGUGUGGAGCACACACGAUUAGAUACCCUGGUAGUCCACGCCCUAUACGAUGAGUGCGUAAUGUUAUAGGGUGUCCGCCCUUUUUGCUGCCGCUAACGCAUUAUACACUCCCCCUGGGGAGUACGCGCGCACAACUGAAACUCUACAGGAAAUGACACGGGGCCCGCCACAAACGGUGGGAGCACUGUGGUUUUAAUUCUCAAGCACCGCGCAGAAACC
rnacentral:rRNA from 2 species